AUGCUGGUGUAGCUCAGUGGUUACUUGGACCAUUAAUUUAGUUGCAGAGUUCACAGACCUCUAUCUCUCCCUGGGAUCGAGCCACCGGUGCUGUCCAGCGUUUUU
ensembl:vault_RNA Vault Vault RNA